rnacentral:antisense_RNA from 1 species
UUUUAUGGUGGUCGUGCGCAGGGCACCUUCGGGUGCGCCGGUUUCCUAACGUACCGGCCUGCUAACCUGCGCUCGGCCGCCACCCUU